AGGUGUCCUUCCAAAGAUCAGGA
rnacentral:siRNA from 1 species